UACGAAGGGUGCAAGCGUUACUCGGAAUUACUGGGCGUAAAGCGUGCGUAGGCGGUGAGUUAAGUCUGAUGUGAAAUCCCCGGGCUCAACCUGGGAAUGGCAUUGGAUACUGGCUCGCUGGAGUGCGGUAGAGGGUGGUGGAAUUCCCGGUGUAGCAGUGAAAUGCGUAGAUAUCUGGAGGAACACCGGUGGCGAAGGCGACAUCCUGGACCGGUAUUGACGCUGAGGCGCGAAAGCCAGGGGAGCAAACGGG
rnacentral:rRNA from 1 species